rnacentral:rRNA from 1 species
CAAUAGCGUAUAUUAAAGUUGUUGCAGUUAAAAAGCUCGUAGUUGAAUUUCUGGUGGGAGCGAUCGGUCUGGCGCUUAGCGCGAGUACUUGCAUCGUCUCCGGCCAUCCUUGGGGAGAGUCUGUCUGGCAUUAAGUUGUCGGGCAGAGGAUCCUCAUCGUUUACUGUGAAAAAAUUAGAGUGUUCAAAGCAGGCUUAUGCCGUUGAAUAUAUUAGCAUGGAAUAAUAAGAUAGGACUUUGGUACUAUUUUGUUGGUUUGCGCACCAAAGUAAUGAUUAAUAGGGACAGUUGGGGGUAUUCGUAUUCCGUUGUCAGAGGUGAAAUUCUUGGAUUUACGGAAGACGAACUACUGCGAAAGCAUUUACCAAGGAUGUUUUCAUUAA